GGUUGAGAUCCGAUGGUACUCAUAACACAUCAGAGGCCUAUGGAUAUCUUGUAUAUUGAUGAUGGAUUCAUCAAUCUGGGAACAAAUAGCAUACAAACUUUCAGGACUGGAAGAAGGAACUUGCAAUUGUCAUUCCUUGGGUUAAAACACUCUCAGAAACCAAACCUAUAUAUGAACAAAUGUAUCAGAAAUUUCCUACAGAAAUUUACAGGUAAAUACGGUGGGUGAUUGUUAUUUCGCACAUUCUUGGUUCCGUCCUUUCUAAUACAUAGAAUAGCUGCCAUUGAACAUGAACAUUUUCUACCUCUACACUCUUGUGCAAGACUUUCAUAGAGUCACUACAAUUACAGGACUAUGGAG
rnacentral:lncRNA from 1 species